GAUGAACGCUGGCGGCGUGCUUAACACAUGCAAGUCGAACGGAAAGGCCCCUGCUUGCAGGGGUACUCGAGUGGCGAACGGGUGAGUAACACGUGGGUGAUCUGCCCUUCACUUCGGGAUAAGCCUGGGAAACUGGGUCUAAUACCGGAUAGGACGAUGGUUUGGAUGCCAUUGUGGAAAGUUUUUCGGUGGGGGAUGGGGUCGCGGCCUAUCAGCUUGUUGGUGGGGUAAUGGCCUACCAAGGCGUCGACGGGUAGCCGGCCUGAGAGGGUGGACGGCCACAUUGGGACGGAGCUACGGCCCAGACUCCUACGGGAGGCAGCAGUGGGGAAGAGUGCACAAUGGGCGGAAGCCUGAUGCAGCGAAGCAGCGUGGGGGAUGACGGCCUUCGGGUUGUAAACUCCUUUCGUCAGGGACGAAGCGAAAGUGACGGUACCUGGAUAAGAAGCACCGGCUAACUACGUG
rnacentral:rRNA from 1 species